rnacentral:rRNA from 1 species
GAUGAACGCUGGCGGCGUGCCUAAUACAUGCAAGUCGAGCGAACGGACGAGAAGCUUGCUUCUCUGAUGUUAGCGGCGGACGGGUGUGUAACACGUGGUUAACCUACCUUUAAGUCUUGGAUAACUUCGUGAAACCGUAUCUUAUACCGUCUAAUCUUUUGUACCGCAUGGUUCCAAAGUUUAAUACGGUCUUUCUGUCUCUUAUAGAUUGAUCCGCGCUGCAUUAGCUAGUUGGUAAGGUAACGGCUUACCAAGGCAACGAUGCAUAUCCGACCUGAGAGGGUGAUCGGCCACACUGGAACUGAGACACGGACAAGACUCCUACGGGAGGCAGCAGUAGGGAAGCUGCCGCAAUGGGCGAAAGCAUGACGGAGCAACGCCGCGUGAGUGAUGAAGGUCUUAGGAUCGUAAAACUCUGUUAUUAGGGAAGAAAAUAUGUGUAAGUAACUGUGCACAGAAUGACGGUACCUAAACAGAAAGCCACGGCUAACUACGUG